rnacentral:rRNA from 1 species
ACCCGCUGACUAGCAUAUCAUAGCGGAGGAAAGAAACCAACCGGGGAUUGCUCAGUACGCGAGUGAAGCGGCAGAGCUCAAAUUGAAAUCUGGCCCCUCCGGGGUUCGAGUGUAAUUUGUAGAGAUGCUUCGGGUGCGCCCCUGUCUAAGUGCCCUGGAACGGGCCAUCGGAGAGGGUGAGAAUCCCGUCUGGGAUGGGGUGUCCGUGCCCGUGUGAAGCUCUUUCGACGAGUCGAGUUGUUUGGGAAUGCAGCUCUAAAUGGGUGGUAAAUUUCAUCUAAAGCUAAAUACUGGCCGGAGACCGAUAGCGCACAAGUAGAGUGAUCGAAAGAUGAAAAGCACUUUGAAAAGAGAGUUAAACAGCACGUGAAAUUGUUGAAAGGGAAGCGCUUGCGACCAGACUCGCCCACGGGGUUCAGCCGGCUUUCGGGCCGGUGUACUUCCCCGGGGGCGGGCCAGCGUCGGUUUGGGCGGCCGGUCAAAGGCCCCCGGAAUGUAACGCCCCUCCGGGGGCGUCUUAUAGCCGGGGGUGUCAUGCGGCCAGCCUAGACCGAGGAACGCGCUUCGGCACGGACGCUGGCAUAAUGGUCGCAAACGACCCGUCUUGAAACACGGACCAAGGAGUCUAACAUCUACGCGAGUGUUCGGGUGGCAAACCCGUGCGCGCAGUGAAAGCGAACGGAGGUGGGAGCCCCCUCGAGGGGCGCACCAUCGACCGAUCCUGAUGUCUUCGGAUGGAUUUGAGUAGGAGCGUAGCUGUGGGGACCCGAAAGAUGGUGAACUAUGCCUGAAUAGGGCGAAGCCAGAGGAAACUCUGGUGGAGGCUCGCAGCGGUUCUGACGUGCAAAUCGAUCGUCAAAUUUGGGUAUAGGGGCGAAAGACUAAUCGAACCAUCUGGUAGCUGGUUCCUGCCGAAGUUUCCCUCAGGAA